AAUGUAAUUUCACAAGAAUCACUCGAUCCUCCUGAGAGGGUGAGGGUAUGUAGUGAUGACGUUGGGUUAAGUGGUCCCAGAUGCAGAGAAAAACAACCCAGCAGCUCGGGUGAGGCCUGUGACACAAUGUUUGUUCCACACAUGGGGAAGAAGCCUGGCCUCUAGCUCUUGGAGUGUGGGGAAUCCCUGAGGGCAGUUUGGUGAGAAAUAAGUCCAACAUCCACCCUGCUACUGGUAAUCUGUCUAAACACAGACCUGCCUGUCCUUCAGUGACCUCCACCCCUGCAGGAGAAAGGCUCCUUCUCAUGGCACAUGAGGAAACUGAGACUUCAAGGGUCCAAAUAUCUUAGUGUUCUUGAGCCAAAGGUGCUGAGUGAAGGAGACAUGUUCCCUGCCCUUGAGGAGGUGGCAGUCUUUCUGGAGAGACAGAUGGUGAGCAGGUGAACAGGUGCACGGUGUGGAGCAGUGCCUGCCACUAUGCAUGGGGAGCUGGAGGACCCUGUGCUUCCUGCACCUCACAGGCGGAGCAGCCUCUCAGGAACUCCUUCAGAGGCUUCCUCCUGUGGGCAUGCUGCUUUCUCAUCACUGCUGCUGCUGACCUUUCUCCCCAGCAACUACCAAAAGCCCGUUUAUCCACAGUCUAAACAACCAAGAGAAUCAAGGAACCCCACAGAAGGAGGAUGAUAGCAGUCUGUACUCAAUUUUAUGAUCAAUAAAUAAUAAGAAAACAAGCUCCUGCUGGGCACUUAGUUCAACAACAGCUCCCACGUUGCAUGUAGCCCCACAACCAGCAUUGUUCGACUUCUGCAUCUUUUGUGUGGCUCGCCCUGUUCUGGGCACUCAAGACAUUUCACAAUAAUAUCUGUGAAAUUAUAACAUGUCAUCUGCAUUUUUAAGAUGCAUUAUGGACUAGGCGUGGUGCUGGCUGUGCUUUGGGAGGCUGAGGUGGGAGGAUCACUUGAGGCCAGGCGCUCCAGUCCAGCCCAGGCAACAGAAGAAGACCCCAUCUCUACAAUUUUUUUUUUUUUAAAUCAGCUGGGUGUGGUGGCACAAGCCUGCAGUCCCAGCUAUUUGGGAGGCUGAGGAAAGACGAUCAUUUGAGUCCAGGAGUUGGAGGCCACAGUGAGCUAUGAUCAUGCCACUACACUAUAGCAUGGAUGACAGAGAGAAACUCCUUAUUUAAGACAAACAAACUGACAAAACAAAAGGGAAGCACGAUGGUGUGCCAGGGAGGGGUCUAUUUGAAGGCAUUUAGACUGGAUUCAGCCAGUCAGGAAGUUCAAUUUAACAGAAAAUUUCAUUUUCCAAAGAAUCAGAAUAACCAGGAGUUCAUUGGAAUCUCCCUGAAGGUCCUCCUGGAUUUAUUCCCACGGACUUACCCUACGAGCUUGGAGCUGCAGCAACAUUCUUCACUUCCAGGAGGCGCAGGGACCCCUGGCAUCACGGUGCUCUCUGGUCUUCAGGGAUGGGGAUGUGUGCGGCAGCUCAGGCUUAGGCCUCCUGGGAUGCACAGGCUGCUUGUAACAAGGGCCCAGCAAUGGGUGCCGGAGGCCGAAACUUGUGCACAUUCUUUUGUCUGAAAGUCAUAAUCAGCCAGGCAUGCAAAGAUGUUGUUCGUAGGGGAUUUAUUCCAGCCGUGUAUAUUAGAGCAAAAAAUCAGAAACAAACUAAAUUUCCAACCUUCAAGGAAUAGUCAACUACAUUGUGGAACAGUCGGGUAAUGUACUAUAAAGCAGCCACUAAAAAAGGCACUGGGAAAAUUUAAUUAUUCAUCUGAAAACAUGUUCAUAAUAGAUUAAGUUAAAAAGCAGUAUAUACAAUAGCUAGAACAUAGACACAAUCCAAAUGUCCAUUGACAGGUGAAUGGGUAAGCAAAAUGUGAUCUAUACUUACAGUGGAAUAUUAUUCAGACUUAAAAAGGAAGGAAAUUCUUUUGUUUUUUUAGACAAGGUCUUAUUCUGUCACCCAGGAUAGAGUGCAGUGGUGUGAUCUUGGCUCACUGCAGCUUCAGCCUCCCAGGCUCAAGUUAUUUUCCCACCUCAGUCUCCUAAAUAGCUGAGACCACAGGUGUGUGCCACCACACCCAGCUAAUUUUUGUGGGCUUUGUAGAGAUGGGGUUUCAGCAUGUUGCCCAGGCUGAUCUCAAACUCUUGGACUCAAGGGAUCCUCCUACCUUGGCCUUCCGAAGUGGUAGGAUUAACAGAAGUGAACCAACAUGCCUGAACUCUUUUUUUUUUUUCUAAUUAAGAGACAGGUUCUCACUCUGUCACCCAAGCUGGAGUGCAGUGACGCGAUCAUAAUUCACUGCAGCCUAAAAGGAAGGAAAUCCUGAUAUAUGCUACCACAUGGGCGAACGUUGAGGACAUUGUGUUAAGUGAAAUAUGUCAGCCACAUAAGGACAAAUAUUUUAUGAUUCUACUUAUAUGAAGUAGGUAGAGUGGUGGCAUUCAGAGAAAGUAGAAUGAUGGUUGCCAGGGGCUGGGAGGAGGGAAAAUGGGGAGUUAUUGUUUAAUAGAUGCAGAGUUUCCAUUGGAGAAUAUUUUUAAAGUUCUGGGCCGGGCGCGGUGGCUCACACCUGUAAUCCCAGCACUUUGGGAGGCUGAGGUAGGUGGAUCACUUGAGGUCAGGAGUUCAAAACCAGCCUGGCCAACAUGGUGAAACCCCAUCUCUACUAAAAAUACAAAAAUUAACCAGCCGUGGUGGUGCACACCUGUAAUCCCAGCUGCUUAGGAGGCUGAGGCAGGAGAAUCGUUUGAACCAGGGAGGUGGAGGUUGCAGUGGGCCAAGAUUGUGCCAUCGCACUCCAGCCUGGGCAACAAAGUGAGACUUUGUCUCAAAAAAAAAAAUAGAAAAAUAAAAAAAUAAAAAUAAAGUUCUGGAGCUGGAUGAUGGUGAUCGUUGCAUAACAAUCUGAAUGCACUCAGUGCCACAGAACUGCAUGCUUAAAAAUGGAUAAAAUUGUAAAUUGUAAAUUUUAUGAGAAAGUAUUUUUUUUUUAAAUUUCACAAUGUCUUUUUUUUCUUUGAGACAAAGUCUCGCUCUCUUGCCCAGGCUGGAGUGCAAUGAAUGGCAUGAUCUCGGCUCACUGCAACCUCCGCCUCCUGGGUUCAAGUGAUUCUCCUGCCUUAGCCUCCUGAGUAGCUGGAAUUACAGGCAUGCACCACAACACCCCACUAAUUUUUGUAUUUUUUAGUAGAGACGGGGUUUCACCAUGUUGGCCAGGCUGGUUUCGAACUCCUGACCUCAGGUGAUUCAACUGCUGCGGCCCCCCCAAACUGCUGGGAUUACAGGUGUGAGCCACCACGCCUGGCCCACAAUGAAUUUUUUAAAUUGGCAAUAAUUGUAUAUAUUUACAGGGUACAAUGUAAUGUUUUGAUAUAUGUAUACAUUACAGAAUAAUUAAAUCAACCUAAUUAACAUCCAUCAUGUCACAUAUUUGCAUGUGUGUAGUGUGAUUUGAUCUUUUAUUUUGAUUUUUAUUAGUGAUGGGUACACUAGAAUCCCAAUCCCCACCAUAUUGAGCUUUGCCCAAAUAUUGAACAUUGUACACAAUAGGGAAUUUGUCAGCCCACCCCCCCUUUGUAGUUCCUGCUGUCUGUUAUCUCCACCUGUAUGUCCAUGUGUACCCAUUGUUAUCUCCCAUGUAUAACUGAGAACAUGGAAUAUUUGACUUUCUGCUUGUCAGUUAGGUGUAGGGAAAAGAAAGAGAGAUCAGACUGUUACUGUGUCUGUGUAGAAAGGAAAGACAUAAACGACUCCAUUUUGAAAAAGACCUGUACUUUAAACAAUUGCUUUGCUGAGAUGUUAAUUUGUAGCUUUGCCCCAGCCACUUUGCCCCAACCUGGAGCUCACAAAAACAUGUGUUGUAUGAAAUCAAGGUUUAAGGGAUCUAGGGCUGUGCAGGAUGUGCCUUGUUAACAAAAUGUUUACAAGCAGUAUGCUUGGUAAAAGUCAUCGCCGUUCUCUAGUCUCAAUAAACCAGGGGAACAGUGCACUGCGGAAAGCCGCAGGGACCUCUGCCAUUGAAAGUGGGGUAUUGUCCAAGCUUUCUCCCCAUGUGAUAGUCUGAAAUAUGGCCUCGUGGGAUGAGAAACACCUGACUGUCCCCCAGCCCGACACCCGUAAAGGGUCUGUGCUGAGGUGGAUUAGUAAAAGAGGAAAGCCUCUUGCAGUUGAGAUAGAGGAAGGCCACUGUCUCCUGCCUGCCCCUGGGAACUGAAUGUCUCGGUAUAAAACCCGAUUGUACAUUUGUUCAGUUCUGAGAUGAGAGAAAAACCGCCCUAUGGUGGGAGGCGAGACAUGUUUGCAGCAAUGCUGCCUUGUUAAUCUUUACUCCACUGAGAUGUUUGGGUGGAGAGAAACAUAAAUCUGGCUUACGUGCACGUCCAAUCGUAGUACCUUCCCUUGAACUUAAUUAUGACAUAGAUUCUAUUGCUCACAUGUUUGUUGCUGACUUUCUCCUUAUUAUCACCCUGCCCUCCUACUACAUUCCUUUUUACUGAAAUAAUGAAGAUAAUAAUCAAUAAAAACUGAUGGAACUCAGA